AUAUAAUUCACGAUGUAGAUAACCUGUGAUAUAAUUAGUGUAGAUAAUAUGU
rnacentral:guide_RNA from 1 species